UGGGUAACCUGCCUCAAAGAGGGGAAUAGCCUCCCGAAAGGGAGAUUAAUACCGCAUAAUAUGUUUUAGUCGCAUGACUUAAACAUCAAAGGAUUUUCUUUUAAGAAAUUCCACUUUGAGAUGGACCCGCGGCGCAUUAGCUAGUUGGUGAGGUAACGGCUCACCAAGGCAACGAUGCGUAGCCGACCUGAGAGGGUNAUCGGCCACAUUGGAACUGAGACACGGUCCAGACCUCCGUAGGGACGG
rnacentral:rRNA from 1 species